CAGUCCGUGAGCAGCAGAGUUCGAGUGCAGAAUGAAGCCGUCAAGGCUCCAAAGCAUUCGGUUUUCUGAAGCCAGAGAGGUGAGAUACGAUCCUGUCUCCUGCAGAGCGGUACCGAUCCGGAGGGGAAACACAUUCUGCAGUGGACUUUGCUGCUUUCUGUGACACCCUGUGGGUCAGGACAAAGAAAGGAGGAAUGUGGAACCAUGCAUCCAGGACAUCUCGUAGCUAAGGCAGCAUUGGAGGAAGAGAACUCUGCUCUCUAAUCAUGAGUAUGAAGACACCACCAGCAGCAGCAGCCUUCAUUAAUCUUCUUUGUUCUGGUCUUUACUAAGUAGGGUUGGUGGAGUAAGGAAUGUUGUGAACCAAGGUGAAAUAUAAGAAGAAGGCAA